UCCCAGUUCGGAUUGUAGUCUGNAACCCGACUACAUGAAGCUGGAAUCGCUAGUAAUCGCGAAUCAGAAUGUCGCGGUGAAUACGUUCCCGGGUCUUGUACACACCGCCCGUCACACCAUGGGAGUCGGAAAUGCCCGAAGUCAGUGACCUAACCGAAAGGGAGGAGCUGCCGAAGGUGGAGCCGGUAACUGGGGUGAAGUCGUAACAAGGUAUC
rnacentral:rRNA from 1 species